GUAUGGGAGUAUGAUUUGGCUAUAACAUCUAUCACUUCAUUUACUACCAGGUCUGAUUUGGCUGUUCUAGUUGGCUAGGAAGAUGUCCUCUUCUUCCCUCACCACUCUGCCUGUCUUCUUCCAAAAACUUCCAUUCAAUCGAAAAGGAAAAUCAGACCAGCUAAAAGGAAUACACUGUUCUUUAGUCAAGAAUAUAUGAUAGCUGAAAAUAUGCAAUGUAAGUACUACAACAAAAUAUCCAAGUUU
rnacentral:sRNA from 1 species